rnacentral:rRNA from 1 species
AGUGAACGCUGGCGGUAGGCCUAACACAUGCAAGUCGAACGGCAGCACAGUAAGAGCUUGCUCUUACGGGUGGCGAGUGGCGGACGGGUGAGGAAUACAUCGGAAUCUACUUUUUCGUGGGGGAUAACGUAGGGAAACUUAUGCUAAUACCGCAUACGACCUACGGGUGAAAGCAGGGGAUCUUCGGACCUUGCGCGAUUGAAUGAGCCGAUGUCGGAUUAGCUAGUUGGCGGGGUAAAGGCCCACCAAGGCGACGAUCCGUAGCUGGUCUGAGAGGAUGAUCAGCCACACUGGAACUGAGACACGGUCCAGACCCCUACGGGAGGCAGCAGUGGGGAAUAUUGGACAAAGGGCGCAAGCCUGAUCCAGCCAUACCGCGUGGGUGAAGAAGGCCUUCGGGUUGUAAAGCCCUUUUGUUGGGAAAGAAAAGCAGCAGGUUAAUACCCCGCUGUUCUGACGGUACCCAAAGAAUAAGCACCGGCUAACUUCGUG